rnacentral:lncRNA from 1 species
UGACAUCAACUUUGAAAACGUUUAUAUAUUUUCAACUAAUAUUUAUAAAAAUAAAUAAAACUUUGAUAAGUUAUUAAUCCCAUGUGUAUAAAAUUAAAUUGAAAAAAAUUGGCUAUCAAAUGCAUCUCUGGUUUAAUAUAAUAAUAUGUGGUGGUUGGUGGUUUCUGUAAUUGCCCAAUAUUCGCCCGGCCCAAACACCAAUACCAAACUAGUAUAAAAAUAAAAUAUAUAACAUCAGCCCAUUUUUGAAUGUCCAUUUACAAAUAACGGCCUAAUAGCCCAAACUAACCAAAAACCUAAUGGCCCAAUGGCCUAGCACCUAAAGGCAAUUAACAGAAACCCUAGCAGCAACAAACCCCCAGCGAUGCAGCAGCCCCAACUCCUCCGCGUAUGUUGCGCCACGUCCACCAUCUUCGUAUGCUAGCUGGCCUCCGUACCUACAAAGAAGACGAAGACAACACAGCAAAACAACAACAAUAGGCCAACAUAAGAAAAAACAAAGAAAAUAAUAGAAAAAAAAAGAAAAAAAGGGAUAAACGAUUUUUGUAAUAUUCGGCAAUAUAAAAGACGAUUGAUUCACUUUUGUAAAGUUUACACAGACGAAAAAGCAAUACAAAGAUGAAAAAAUUCAAAAAAGAAAAGAAAAGAACAGAUCAUUUCAGGUGGUGUUUCGACUUCGUUUGAUUCUGAUUAUUUUCUUUUCUUUCGUUUUUUUUGUUUUGUUUUCAUUUUAGAUGCGAAAAAUACAAAAGAAAAAGGGAGGACUCUUACCUUUGUAAACGCAACGCUGGAGCUCUAUUUACUCCGUCCAAAUCGGAGUUAGAUAGGGUUUAGGUUUGAUGCGACGGCAGGGAAGAGGAGAGUUUAGUUUUUCUGCUGAUGAGUAAAAGAGAAAACGAAAGCCCUUAAAUUUUAGGGUUUCAGUUAGUUCUUGUGGGGUGUUUAAACGGUGCCGUUUGGGGCCUGUAUCAGUGGCCCCAAAACGGCACCGUAUUUGCUCAGAUUAUGCGAGACCCGAUGACCCGACCCGAACAGGAUUAGAUCCGCGCGUUCUGGGUUCGCAAGGGUUAUUUGCGCAUUUGAUCCCUUGGUCUUAUCCCGUCAUUUCAAUUUCAUUUUCGUUAUUCUUAAAUCUUCCCCGUGUAUU